CGAGAAUCAUUCGCAAUGGGCGAAAGCCUGACGAUGCGACGCCGUGUGAGCGAUGAAGGCCUUAGGGUCGUAAAGCUCUUUCGCCUGGGAGCAAGAGAAGCCGACUAAUAUUCGGCUAAUUUGAGAGUACCAGGUAAAGAAGCACCGGCUAACUCCGUGCCAGCAGCUGCGGUAAUACGGAGGGUGCAAGCAUUAAUCGGAUUUAUUGGGCGUAAAGGGCGCGUAGGCGGGAACAUAAGUCAGAUGUGAAAUCCUGGAGCUCAACUCCAGAACAGCAUUUGAAACUAUAUUUCUUGAGGGUAGGCGGAGAAAACGGAAUUCCACAUGUAGCGGUGAAAUGCGUAGAUAUGUGGAAGAACAUCGGUGGCGAAGGCGGUUUUCUAGCUUAUUCCUGACGCUGAGGCGCGAAAGCAAGGGGAGCAAACA
rnacentral:rRNA from 1 species